GACGAACCGUGCGAACGUUAUUCGGAAUCACUGGGCUUAAAGGGCGCGUAGGCGGGCAUCCAAGUCAAGGGUGAAAGCCCACGGCUCAACCGUGGAAGUGCCUUUGAUACUGGGUGCCUCGAGGGGUGCAGGGGCGUGCGGAACUUCGGGUGGAGCGGUGAAAUGCGUAGAUAUCCGAAGGAACACCGGUGGCGAAAGCGGCGCGCUGGACACCUACUGACGCUGAGGCGCGAAAGCCAGGGGAGCGAACGGG
rnacentral:rRNA from 1 species